AAUGUCUGAAUUGAUUUGACAAAACCACUUUUUUACAAUUCUUUAGAUCUCUUUAGAUCUCUUAUAAUCUGUCAGCAUCCAUCUAUAUGCAAAGCAAACUUCCUGACAGUCUACUAUAAAGACUUGAAAUCAUGCCGCCAGUUAAAACAGAAGAAGAGAAGUUCCCAUCAGAUUAUCUUGAGUACCAAAAUGUUCUCUGUGGCUCUGCUGCUCCUGCUGGCUGCUGGAUCCUGUGUGAAGUGUGAACAGCUGACACAGCCAGAGUUUGUGACUGUGCAGCCAGGUCAGCGCCUGACCAUCACCUGUCAGGUCUCUUAUUCUCUAAGCAGCUGGAGGACAUCUUGGAUCAGACAGCCUGCAGGGAAAGGACUGGAGUGGAUUGGAGGUGCACAUUAUGGAUACCCCACAUUUUACAAAGAUUCACUAAAGAACAAGUUCACCAUCAACUUAGACACUUCAAGCAAGACAGUGACUCUAAAUGGACAGAAUAUGCAGCCUGAAGACACUGCUGUGUAUUACUGUGCCAGAGGGUCACAGUAAUACGAAACAUCAGUAGAGCUGAACAAAAACCUCUCACAGCUUCAACAUGUGUAACAUCCUCCACCACUA